UAAAUUGUAAUAAUUUCACAGUAUUACUGUUUUUUUUUGGGUUUUUUUUUUAUGAUCAAAUAAAUGCAGGCUUGAUGAGAAUAAGAGAGACUUUAGUAGUAAUGUUUCCAAACUUUUGACCGGUACUGUAUAUAUGUGUUUUUUUUAAGUGUAUUUUGAUCUAAUAUAUGUAAAUGUUGUUGUUUUUUUUAAAUCACAAGAUCUUUUUAUUUCUUAUAGGUGCAAAGAAUAGCAAGUCAUGUUGAGAAAAGUUAGACGCUUCAAGACUCUGAAACUGAUUAUUUUAGAUGAACCCAGCUGAUAUUGACUAUUCGAGGGUCUUCAUUGUGACUCAACUUUGUGGCUGGAUUUGCAGUCUUAUUACAGUCUGUUGUCCCGGGAGGAAGCAUCUUUUGCACACUUAAAUCUUUUUCAAAGGCCGUGUAUCACAGUGUUAAACCGGUGGCUCUCAAACAGCAGCUGGAAAACAUCAGCAUUGUGUCUGAGAAAGCUGAAGGACCUAAUCCGGAAGAUGGAGGAGAGGGAGGCUGAGAGAGAGCAACAGAGAGGGAGGAAAGACAAUAGCCUGCACCUGUUCUAAUCAAACACCUGAAAAAUGUAAUCAAGUUACUUUAGGAUUACUUCAAGAUUACAGAUAGGUUGUGUUUGAUCACAAUUGAAACUCAGGAUACGACUUGAAGUAUCCAUAAGCUGUGUUUACAUUCUGUAUACAUUUACAAGUGAGAUAAUACAAAAUAAUAAAGCUAUGUUUGUGUUUGAAGUGUCUUACAACAAUCAUGAUCAGACAAUGAUCAAUUAAAUGAACUUAUGUCAGCCUCUCUGUUAUGUCAACCUCUCCAGAAAAUAUCAGCAAAUAUGUAAAAAAAAAAAGUCUAUAAUUUACUGUGAAAUCCUACAAAUAAAUUAUGUGUUUUGAAAUUUUAUAUUUAAUUAUUUAUUAUAAUUAUAUAUUGACUAUAAAAAAUAUUUAUAAAUAUAUAUCGUUUUGAUGUAUGGAUGCUUGUUGUUUACUUGUUGUCAUGUAAAUGUGUGAUUGAUUUGAGGAUGCUUUCCAUCAAAAUAAAUUUUAUUAAAGAAAUGUUUUAAUUUUUUGUCAAACUCAAAAAA